UACAGAGGUCUCGAGCGUUAGUCGGAGUCACUGGGCUUAAAGCGUACGUAGGCGGAUAUGCAGGCGUCGUGUGAAAUCCCUUGGCUCAACCAAGGAACUGCACGGCGAACCGCAUGUCUUGAGAUCGGUAGGGGCGGUCGGAACGAUAGGUGGAGUGGUGAAAUGCGUUGAUAUCUAUCGGAACGCCGAAGGUGAAAGCAGGCCGCUGGGCCGAUUCUGACGCUGAGGUACGAAAGCGUGGGGAGCGAACGGG
rnacentral:rRNA from 2 species